AUUGAACGCUGGCGGCAUGCCUUACACAUGCAAGUCGAACGGCAGCACGGGUGCUUGCACCUGGUGGCGAGUGGCGAACGGGUGAGUAAUACAUCGGAACAUGUCCUGUAGUGGGGGAUAGCCCGGCGAAAGCCGGAUUAAUACCGCAUACGAUCCACGGAUGAAAGCGGGGGACCUUCGGGCCUCGCGCUAUAGGGUUGGCCGAUGGCUGAUUAGCUAGUUGGUGGGGUAAAGGCCUACCAAGGCGACGAUCAAUAGCUGGUCUGAGAGGACGACCAGCCACACUGGGACUGAGACACGGCCCAGACUCCUACGGGAGGCAGCAGUGGGGAAUUUUGGACAAUGGGCGAAAGCCUGAUCCAGCAAUGCCGCGUGUGUGAAGAAGGCCUUCGGGUUGUAAAGCACUUUUGUCCGGAAAGAAAUCCUUGACUCUAAUACAGUCGGGGGAUGACGGUACCGGAAGAAUAAGCACCGGCUAACUACGUG
rnacentral:rRNA from 1 species